rnacentral:rRNA from 1 species
AUCGGCCACUCCACUUCCCAGAUCUCCCGCCUUGUUGCCCUCCUCCCGGUUAUCUUUCUCCAACCCGCCCAAAUCCCCAUCCUCAAAUUCUUGAUCUCCUUGUUUUGCUCCUAUGACAAGGUAGAACCCGCCCUCAAGAGGAAGCACUAUCUCCUCAACCACAACUUAGAGAAGGUGGUCAAGCCCAAUAUUGAGUCCUUGCAGGAGUGCAGCCUAAACUGCAUCAUCCUCUCCUCUUCGAGGAAAUCCCAACGCAGCUCACAAGUAGCACCAGACCAUGUGAAAGAAAUGGUGACCCAUGUAGAGAAGCUCGGCAUGAGGCGUUAUUCAGGGAUGUUCAAGAAUGCUUUGGAGACCGUCUGCAACAUCAGGCCCGAGAAUAUUACUUCAAAAAUGGCCUGCUUGAAGAGGGCUCUUGGCCGCUCCGAAGCUGUGCUGGCGGUGUGCAAGUUGCCAAGCAUUCUACUUAUGUCAGAGAGGAGGCUGAGCCACAAGUUGGAGUUCCUGAGGAUGGAAUUUGGGUUGGAGCCUUCAUACACCGCACACGGGCUGGCAAUUCUCGCAUAUGACUUGGAGAAGCGUGUAAUGCCCCGACACUAUGUCAUAGAAGUUCUGGAGGUAAAGGAUCUAGUGAAGAAAGACAUUGACUUGUACAUUGUGUUUGCUUACACAGAGAAGAAAUUUGUAGGGAAAUACAUUGACCGUUAUAGUGAGCGUGUUCUAGGGCUCGCAGACGCUUAUGCUGCUGCUUGUGCAGGUAAAAUUCCCGAAAUCCAACCGUGA